AUGUUUGUUGAUCUCUCACCCUUGGAUUCUGCCCCGCAAGUUGUUCGUGGUCCGGCCAGUAGGCAUGAGAGGCACCCAAUGGCCUUCACCCCACCGAGCUUUAGCCUUGGCAUCAGUCAAGAUCAACCAGUGGUGCAAGAUCCUACGCCAUUUGCCUUUGCUUUCCCGGGAGGCAUGGCCGCAAUGAUGGCGCAGCCAAUGGUCGAGGGCAGGAAGGCUGUCAAGUUCGCAGAGCCGAUCAUCCAAGGUAUCCUAACCCACUUUUUGAUCCUUGCAGGCACCCCUGAGGAGAUUUCGCCGUCACUUGAUGAAGUUUACCGCGGGAUUGAGGAGGCAGCAUUGCAGAGGAGGUCCUCACGAGGUCAGGGGCAAUCAAGUUCCAACGUGCCUGUUGAGACGGUAUCUGAGGAUACCAUUAGAAGUGCCACCCCUGGUUCUGUGAGGCAGCAGAGGGUAGUUCACCCACCUCCCGCGGAUGACUACGAGCCCGAAGUCAAGGCCACAAAGGAGCAGAACCAGCUGUACGAUAUUGUCAAGCGAUUUGGAAAUGCGAGGGCCAGCAGCAAGCACAUGAAGGAGCUGAAAGCGUAA
rnacentral:rRNA from 1 species